CAGACACUAAUGAGAAUGAAGCACAAAAGAUGUUUUUGGGAAUAUUUGAUGUCCACAUUGAAAAUCUCAUCCCACCUUCGCCAAAAAGAGCAUCAAGACUGCUGGACCUUGAACACGUGAAGUUUUUAAUGGACUCUUUUCAAAGUGGAGUUUUUCAACAACUUACAAUCCUGGUAGGAAUGGUCCCUGACGAUUGUGACCCGUCGAUAUUAAAGAUGAAAGGUGCCGGACAGGUUGAGACCC